UUUCCGAUAGCUCAAUGGUAGAGCAUAUGGCUGUUAACCAUAUUAGUUGUAGGUUCGAGUCCUAUUCGGAAAG
rnacentral:tRNA from 1 species